rnacentral:lncRNA from 1 species
UUAAUUGUAAUGGGAUUUUAAUUUAAGCAAUUGGGCCGUUUUUUUAAAAUCAAAACUAAAACCAUAAUUUUCCUAUCCAAACUCACAUAACCCAAGCUCAUUCCCUAACCCAUAAUUCGUAGGCUCAUACCUCUAACCUAAUUCAUACCCUAUAUAAUACUAUGUGUACAAGGCUAUACACCCUAAGACUCUAAUAGAUAGAUCCGCCAUUUCAACAAAAAAUCAGAAGCUAGAAAAACAAAAGAAAAUCAGCGCCAUGUUUUUGUCAAGAAACCCAAUCCCGGAAGAAACAACGAUUUGUUGACCUCAAUAAAAUCAAAGAUCCUCAAAUUACGCCCCAUCACCAAAAUUCGGAGCUGAUCGUUAUUACUAUUCCUCAUCUCCCUAGUAAGUCCAUCAAUCAGUAAGAGCCCAAAACGUUGGAGACCUUGUAGCUGUACUUGGUAGGACAUUUGAAUUAAUUGUCAUUUGCAAAAGAAAGCUUCCUGGACAAAAUUGAAAACGAUACCGUGUGAACGAGAGGAUGAGUUUGGACAUAGAAUGAGUGUGGCGGAGGAGAGCAAAGUCCUAUUUGGCGAGAUUCCUAAUCGAGAUUUCGGUAGCGUCUCGGUCAAAUGGUUGUCGCUUUGUUUGGUGAUUAAGCUGUAAAUUUUCAGACCUGUUCAUCACUAUAAAGGUCCGAUUCUUCCUUGCUCUGUUUGUGGUAAACCUGCUGAAAAUUUCUUCCUUUGUUUCUUCACUGCCCCUUUUUCCCUUUGUGAUUUCCGUGCCAUAAUUAUCUUCUAGCUAAGAUUCAUGUGAUAUUUUUUGGAGUCAUGUUUAUUUGUAAAGAAUAAUUAUGGCCUAUACUUAUGGUACUUAGGUAUUUCUUUUCAUUAGAUAGGUGUGAUUGUUCUUAUUUGUGUUUGUUGAAUUAUCUUUUGAGUGUUAUAUGUUUACUACAUUUCUUACUUCCGAUUUGAUUCAUGAAAUAUAUAGUAAGGCGUAAAAAUGAGCAGAAACUAUGGAUGUAUGCUUGACCUCUGUACAAUAAAUAUGAGUGGUGUAUGUUUACUAUGGAAUUUUGGCCAAUAUCGAAUUGAAGAGACUUGGGCAUUUGAGCCAAUAUUGAAUUAAAGGGACUUUGGAAAUGUGAUCAAAAUCAGUAACGUGGCCAUACUCUUUUGUCACCCCAUUCACUCCUUUGUCUUGUAGUAUUAUAUCUUUUCAGAAUUUUACUUUUCUUGCAUUAUUAAUAUAUUUUUAAUUUUUGAUUAAUUGAACUGUUGGUGGGGAAAUGAAACAUCGUGACUUACUUUGGCGCAAUUAAUAAAAUUAUUACAAUUAUGGGUACGGUUUCCGUGACGUAGUUACAAUGGGUAAUUAAUUUUAACCCUUUGUAAUUUGAGGUAUGCCAUUUAGCGAAUUCUCAUGGCCCUCGCAAAGUUAACAACACGCUAGUUGCUUUAGGCGCGUUACUUAAUAAUAUUAUCUUCCUAAACUCGAGUGUCCAUUUUAUGUGACCUAAAUCCAAAUCCCAAAAUAAUGAAUAAAAUGUGCCGAGGAUCCGGGUGCAUUUCAUGUGACGUGAUCCAAAAACAUAUUUUAGAAGACGUUCAAUUUCCUAAAAAAUAUUGAUUAAAAGCUGUAAAUAAUUUUAAAAUUGCACUAUAGGAUGGCAUAUAUAAAAAUAAGAUUUUUAGCCAAUUAUAAGAGUUUAAACGAUCGUGCUAGAACCAUGGGAUCCGGGGUGCCUAACACCUUUCCUCGGGUCAACAGAAUUCCUUACUCAAGAGUUUUUGGUUCGCAGACUCCAUUCAGGAAGUCGAAAAUUUUCUCGAUUUGGGAUUCAAAAUAAAUCGGUGACUUGGGACACCAAAAGCCAAACUUAUCCCAAGUGGCGACUUUGAAUAAAUAAAUAAUCUCAUUUUGAAUAAUGUCACUUAAAUUGAAAAAACUCCCUUAUAUAUUUACCUUUCGGGAUAGGUGUUUAAAAAUGAGGUAUGACAGAUAUCACCAGGUGUUAAUAGAUGAAGAGGAUGCAGAGAAAACCGCCUUUACCACACAUUGGGGAACCUACUGCUACAUGCCCUUCGGACUGAAGAAUAAUGGGGCAACAUAUAUGACAACCAUGACUACUAUCUUCCAUGAUAUGAUGCAUCGGGAAAUAGAGGUGUAUGUGGAUGACGUGAUCAUCAAGUCCAGAACACAGGAUGAUCAUGUAUGUGAUCUAAGGAAGUUCUUCGAACGGCAGCGCCGAUAUAAUUUGAAAUUAAACCCAGCCAAAUGUGUGUUCGGGGUCCCGUCGCGCAAACUUCUGGGAUUCAUAGUCAGCCGGAGAGGUAUUGCGUUAGAUCCAAAUACGGUAAAGUCUAUUCGAGAUUUACCUACUCCGAAGACCAAAAAGGACGUAAUGAUCUUGUUGGGAAGAUUGAAUUAUAUUAGUCGAUUCAUCGCUCAGCUGACUUCCACAUGUGAGCCCAUAUUCAAAUUGCUAAAGAAAUAUGCAGCGAUCAAAUGGACGUAUGACUUUCAAAAGGCUUUCGAUAAGAUUAAAGACUACUUGUCCAACCCACCAAUUUUGGUUCAACCUGAGCCAGGGAGGCCAUUGUUCAAAUUGCUAACGAAAGAUGCAGCGGUCAAAUGGACAAAUGACUGUCAAAAGGCUUUCGAUAAGAUUAAAGACUACUUGUCUAACCCACCAGUUUUGGUUCCACCUGAGCUAGGGAGGUCAUUAUUUCUGUACCAGACCAUCCUGGAAAGUUCCUUCGGUCGCAUUCUAGAGCAACACGACAUCACUGAAAAGAAAGAAGAGGCCAUAUACUACCUGAGUAAGAAAUUCACCGGCUAUGAGGCCAAGUACACUUUGCUGGAAAGAACUUGCUGAGUUCUAACUUAGGUUGCUCAAAAAUUGAGGCAUUACCAACAGGCUUGCACCACCUACCUCACAGCCAGGAUGGUUCCUCUGAAGUACAUAUUUCAAAAGCCAAUGCCCAUAGAGAGGUUAGCAAAAUGGCAGAUCUUACUCACCGAGUUUGAUAUCUAUGUCACUCGUACAGCAAUGAAGGCCCAAGCUUUAGUGGAACAUUUAGCCGAAAACCCAGUUGAUGAUGAGUACUAACCCCUGAACACUUAUUUCCCAGAUGAAGAGGUGAACUCGAUGGAAGCAAUAUCUGAAGACAUUGCUGCCUGAAAUUGUUCUUUGAUGGAGCAGUCAACUCAAGAGGUGUCGGAAUUGGGGCAGUUUUAAUUUCACCCAUUGGUCAGCACUAUCCAGCCACCGCUCGACUUCAGUUCUUCUACACGAACAAUACAGCUGAGUACGAAGCUUGCAUCAUGGGUAUGAAUAUAGCAGUUGAUCGAAAUGUCGAAGAGUUGCUAAUUAUGGGGGAUUCGGAUUUAAUCAUCCGGCAAGCCCAAAAAAAUGGGAAACUCGAGAAGUUAAACUUAUCCCUUACUGGCAGCAUGUGGAAGAUCUUAGCAGGCGGUUCAAGAUGAUAGAGUUCAGGUACAUCCCUCGAUGUCACAAUGAGCUAGCUGACGCACUUGCCAAUUUGGCCUCAAUGUUGCCCUAUCUAGGAAAUGCCCUUAUCGAUCCCUUAGAAAUCCAAAUCAGGGAAAGGAAUGGGUACUAUAAUGCAGAUAAUGCCAUAACCAAACAUUCAGCCAUGGUACCAUGAUAUCAAGAUGUUUCUAAAAAUCAAGAAUACCCCAAGCAAGCGACUGGAGACCAAAAGAGAACUAUCAGAUGGCAAGCAAGUAGUUCUUCUUAAGCAGUGAGGUUUUGUACAAAAGGACCCCAGACCUCGAUUUGUUAAGAUGCGUUGACGCCGAAGAGGUAGGAUGAAUCAUGUAUGAAGUACAUCCAAGAGUUUGUGGACCACACAUGAAUGGGUAUGUUCUAGCAAAGAAAAUCAUCCGAGCGGGCUAUUAUUGGAUAACCAUGGAAAGGGAUUGUUUUACCUUGGUCUGGAAAUGCCAUUAGUGUCAGGUGCACGGUGAUUUGAUUCAUGCACCUCCUACAGAACUGCAUCCCAUGUCAGCACCUUGGCCAUUCGCAGCUUGGGGAAUGGACGUUAUUGGGCCGAUCGAGCCGAAAGCCUCAAAUGGGCACAGAUUCAUAUUGGUUGCCAUUGAUUACUUCACAAAAUGGGUUGAAGCCAUCACUCUUAAAUCGGUUACCAAGAAAGCGGUGGUGGAUUUCGUGAAUUCCAAUCUCAUUUGACGUUUUGGCAUCCCAGCAACUAUCAUCAUGGACAACACUGCAAAUUUGAACAGCCGGUUGAUGGGAGAGAUAUGCGAACAAUUCAAAAAAAAACUCAUCGAAACUCUACACCCUACCAGCCCAAAGCCAAUGGUGUCAUCGAAGCAGCAAACAAAAAUAUCAAGAAGAUUUUGAGAAAGAUGAUUCAAAGCUCCGGGCAAUGGCAUGAGAAACUACCUUUUGCAUUAUUGGGGUAUCGCACAACCGUGUGCACGUCAAUUGGAGAAACUCCCUAUCUUUUGUUAUAUGGAAUUGAUGCAGUAAUACCUGCAGAGGUGGAAAUCCCAUCUCUCCCGAUCAUCGUCGAAGCUGAGAUUGAAGACACUGAAUGGGUCAGGUUUCGUCUAGAAUAGUUGGCUUUAAUUGAUGAAAAACGAAUGGCUACGGUCUACCACAGACAGUUGUACCAACAAAGAAUGGCCAGAGCUUAUAACAAGAAAGUACGCCCCAUGAAUUUGAGGUGGGACAGCUUGUAUUAAGGUGCAUUCUUCCUCACCAUCCAGAAGCAAAAGGAAAAUUUUCUCCUAAUUGGAAAGGCUCGUACAUUAUCAGAAAGAUAUUGCCAAAAGGAGCAUUGUAUACCGAAGGAGAUGAUCUUGAAGCAGUAGUGAAUGUAGAUGCAGUAAAAAGGUACUAUGUCUAGGCUCCAUGUAGCAAUGAUUCAGUCCAGUUGUGGCAAGCUUUCAUUCCUGCCACUCAAACACUAUCAACCCCUUAGUAAACCCAUUUGAGCCGGUUACUCUUCUUUGACCACCCUCUUUGGAACUUGGAAAUGUUAUUCAUAAAAAAGAGAAAAAAAAGAAAAAAAAAAUGAGAAACAAAAAUAGUUUAGGAAACACUCAUGAACUACGUCUGACUUGAUUCCAAAAGGAUACGUAGGCAGCCUCUUUCUAGUGUUCAGUCACACCAAAUUAAAAUUGCCAAUUCCCCCCAAAAAUAAAACUGGGACAGAUGACAUAAUGGCUCGGCCAUGAGCCCACCAAAAUAGUUCCAAAGUUGUAAUUCAGUCCAUGCUUUUUACCCAAAACAACCUUGUCCAAGUCCUUCCGAUCAAUUGGUAAAGGCAUGGGAGUUGAAAAAUAUCAUUGUUGGAAUCUGAUGCAAUCCAAAUUUAAAGAAAUUAAAUGAGGGAGUCUUAUCCGUGAAAACCUAUAGGCACCAUAAGGCGAUGAUGAGUAGAGAAAUUGAAAAUAUGAAAGUCCGUUCGGUGAAAACUCAUAACGAUCACCAAUGGGCAACGGUGAGAAGAGAAAUGAGAAAGGUCGAUUGGCAAAACCCCGCAAAGGGCGCUGUCAGCCGAAAAGAAGGCACCUCCCAUCAUUGAAGGAGUCCUAGCAAGGUUUCUUGGAUUGAAACACGGGUCAAUGAACAUACGAGAAAUUGAGGAAGCUUGUGCGGGUCGGGCAUCUAUUCCAAGAAACAUGUCAUGUCCAUUUGAAACUUGCAUGCAUUCCCCAGAUAAGUCCUUCUUUUUCCCCGGAAGGGACACUUUUAUUUAAAUUCAUCCUCUUGGUCUCUAUUUACUUUUCCUUGAAUCUCUUUCGGUCUAACUCUGAUUCCGAAACUAUUACAAAGAAAAGGUAGCAGAACUGGUUUACAGGGCCCUGCUCAGCAAGAGCUAAAGAAAAGGUACCCAGCCUUAGCGGGUGUAUUAAGCCAAUCCUGAAUGGCCAUGAUGUUGAUGCUUUCAAAGCAAAGAUAUGGAAAAGGAAAGAAUGUCCAAAGACAAAGGUCCUAUGAGCAGAAUAAAGUGAAAAGCCAGAGCCCUAUGCGGGCGAGUUGUCAUGAAAUCCUGAAGGUUGAGGCCAUUGGCUCGAAAGAGAAGAUGAUCUUCAAAACCAGAAAGCAACAAAGGCUCUCAAUAAAAGUUACGCCGGGAUCAAAAAUUCAAGGCCACAGAACCAACCACCGUUUCAAUCUAACAGUCGAAAGAGAAGAUAAUUUUCAAAACCAGCAAACAGCAGAGACUCUAAAUAGAAGCUGGGCCAUGAUUAAUCAAUCAAGGCCGCAGAACCAACCACCAUUUCAAACUAACAAUUGUUCUUUGUUGAAAAUCAAAAUAGGUGCGAUACGAGCAACCGCGCAAAAGCAGGUACAGUCAAAAGGAAAAUGCGCAAGUGCUAAGAUAGCUUCGCAGCAAAAUGAUCAAUGAAAAAAGGAAGUUUCCUCCAAGUUCUUUCCUGCAUCUUAUCAAAAUAAAAAGGGAGAAAGAACAUAAUGAAAAAGGAAAACCCAAAAGAGGAUAAUUUAGAAUCCUCAAUACCAACCUUUAGCCAACAUUAAGGCUCAACUCCCUGAGUUGAGUGUUUUUCCUUUUAGCCAACAUUAGGGAUCCAAUCCCUAAGUUGAGCGUUUUCCCUUUUAGCCAACAUUAGGGCUCUAAUCCCUGAGUUAAGCAUUUUUUCUUUAGCCAACAUUAGGGCUCCAAUCCCCGAGUUGAGCGGUUUCCCUUUUAGCCAACAUUAGGGCUCUAAUCCCUGAGUUGAGCAUUUUUCCUUAUCCAACAUUAGGGCUCUAAUCCCUGAAUUGAGCGUCUUCUUUAGCCAACAUUAGGGCUCCAAUCCCUGAGUUGAGCGAUUUCCCCUUUAGCCAACAUUAGGGCUCCAAUCCCUGAGUUGAGCAUUUUUUCUAGCCAACAUUAGGGCUCCAAUAUCUGAGUUGAGCAUAUUUCCUAGCCAAUAUUUGGGGCUCCAAUCCCUGAGUUGAGCAUUUUUCCUUAACCAACAUUAGGGCUCCAAUGCUUGAGUUGAGCAUUUUUUUUAGCCAACAUUAGGCUCUAAUCCCUAAGUUGAGCAUUUUUCCUUAGCCAACAUUAGGGCUCCAAUCCCUGAGUUGAGCGUUUUUUCUUAGCCAAUAUUAGGGCUCAAAUCCCUAGGUUGAACGUUUUUCCUUAGCCAACAUUAGGGCUCCAAUCCCUGAGUUGAGNNNNNNNNNNNNNNNNNNNNNNNNNNNNNNNNNNNNNNNNNNNNNNNNNNNNNNNNNNNNNNNGCUCCAAUCCCUGAGUUGAGCGUUUUUCCUUAGCCAACAUUAGGGCUCAAAUCCCUGAGUUGAGCGUUUUUCCUUAGCCAAAAUUAGGCUCCAAUCCCUGAGUUGAGCAUUUUUCCUUAUCCAACAGUUGGGCUCCAAUCCCUGAGUUGAGAAUUUCCUCCUUAGCCAACAUUAGGGCUUCAAUCCCUGAUUUGAGCAUUUUUCCCGUUAGCCAACAUUAGGACUUCAAUCCCUGAGUUGAGAGUUUUUUCUUAGCCAACAUUAGGGCUUCAAUCCCUAAAUUGAGCGAUUUUUCCUUCGCAAACAUUAGGGAUCGAAUCCCUGAGUUAAGCGUUUUUCCUUAGCCAACAUUGGGGCUCGAAUCCCUCAGUUAAGCAUUUUUCCUUAGCCAACAUUAGGGCUCCAAUCCCUGAGUUGAGCAUUUUUCUUUAGCCAACAUUAGGGCUCNNNNNNNNNNNNNNNNNNNNNNNNNNNNNNNNNNNNNNNNNNNNNNNNNNNNNNNNNNNNNNNAGCAUUUUUCUUUAGCCAACAUUAGGGCUCCAAUCCCUGAGUUGAGUGUUUUUCCUUAGCCAACAUUAGGGCUCCAAUCACUGAGUUGAGCAUUUUCCUUAGCCAAUAUUAAGGCUUCAAUCCCUGAGUUAAGCAUUUUUCCUUAUCCAACAUUAGGGCUCCAAUCCCUGAGUUGAGCGUUUUUCUUUAGCCAACAUUAGGGCUCCAAUCUCUGAGUUGAGCAUUUUUCCUCAGCCAACAUUAGGACUCCAAACCCUUAGUUGAGCGUUUUUCCUUUGCCAACAUUAGGGCUCCAAUCCCGGAGUUGAGCAUUUUUCCUUAGAGGGCUCCAAUCCCUGAGUUGAGCGUUUUUCCUUAGCCAACUUUAGGGCUCCAAUCCCUGAGUUGAGCGUUUUUUCUUAGCCAACAUUAGGGCUCCAAUCCCGGAGUUGAGUGUUUUUGCUUAGCCAACAUUAGGGCUCCAAUCCCCGAGUUGAGCGUUUUCCCUUUAGCCAAUAUUAGAGCUCCAAUCUCUGAGUUGAAAAUUUUUCCGUUAGUCAAUAUUAGGGCUCCAAUUCCUAAGUUGACGUUUCACGACAGGAGUUUGCCCCGAUUUAUCCUAUCAUAGACAAAUACAGUUCUUGAGACGAAAAACAAAAAAAAGAAAAAGUUCAAAUUUUUGUCACAAAUAACUCACGAAACCUUCCUAGUGCAAAAUUGGGGCAGAAAGUUUCGUUCGUUCGCUUGUUUUUUAGCUGGUUUGACCUCGAAUCACAAGUUCCAAGGCAACUGAAAGGAUGAGUCUCAAUCUUGAAUAAAGGAAAAAAAAAGAACAAAAGAAAUUCAAAUGCGGAAGCGAGCAUGGAGAUGAGCUGAUCAAAACUUGAUUAAAAUCACAAGCUCCGUCGGUCCCUCUCUGCUCAAAUGUUGAACAAAGAACCGGCACCUACAACUUACAAGCAUCAAAACUCAGAUCGGAGUCCAUAGCAAAUCCAGCUAAGACUAAAGAUCAAGCUUCAAGAGAUUUAUAGAUAGGAAUUUUGUAACUCAUAAUAGAUAGGCAUACCUGGCUUAGCUUUUUGAUUUUUCUUUUGGUCUAAUAAGGAGAACAGCAAGCAGUAGCAGUAGUAGCAGCAUCAACAAUGAGAAUGCAGCUUCGGUAGUCCCAGCUACCAAACACUCCUGAAUUACACUGACCAAAUUCCUCAUUAGCCGGGGAUAUGUAGGCAACCUCUGAAGAAGAUGCGUUAAAGCUUUUAAAAAUUGCUUCUCAUGGAGUGUCAAGCAGGCAAAAAUCUCUCAUGAUUGCUCACUUAUCUUUGCCCGAAAACCUUCGUGUCUCCGAGAAAGAGGGGCAGCUGUGAGCAUGUGAUUUUUGCCUAGCUUAAAUUACUCCUAUAAAAUUCUUAAAUUUAGGGUUUUUCUUUAUGUUAUGUGAUUUUUAAAAUUUAAUUGCAUAAUUGUAUGUUUGUUUGCAUUUUGAGUAUAUUUUAAUUCAUAAAAAAAUAUAUAAAAAUACCACCACUUUGCAUUUUAGGAUACCAUUUUUAAUAUUUAAGGUUCAUUAAUUAAUUAAUAGCACAAAAACAAAAAAUAAUAAAAUUGGUUCAUUUAGCAUUUUUAUUUUGAAUUUUAGAAUAUGUCCUAAUUAGGAAUUAGUUAAGUUUGAAAUUUAGUUAGUUUAAUUUUUAAAAUAAAUUAGGUCUUUAUUAUUUUUAAUUUUUGUAUUUAACCAAAUUAGAAAAUAUAAAAUAAAUAAGAGAAAAAGAAAGAAAUUGAAAAAAUGUGGUCUUAAUUAUAGACCAAUUUUGGGCCAGCUUUAAUUAAAAAUGCCAGCUUAAAACACAGCCCAAACCUGACCCAAACUCAUAAGUCAACCCGGUCCAAACCCCCACCUCCCAAAACGACGUCGUUUCAUGUUUUUAUACGACCGUUGGAUCUCAUCAAUCCAACGGUACGGAACUAACAAGGUUUCGAGUAUAAAACUGUCAGAACCCCCCCCCCCACAACCAUCUUUCCCAAACCCUAAUACACGCCGGCGUAACACCACCACCCUCCGCCGUCCGUCGCCGGCCAGAAAUAGCCUCCGCCGAUAGUGAUGCUCCGAUGGCCCCCAGAAUUACACCACCCCACCUCCUCGAACUCCUCUUUCCAUCCCUGCUAUCAGUGCCCAUUGAAUGUCAACCGAACUCGUCGAAUAUUAGUUUGAAUCAACCACUGCUCCGCCGCCCAUGGCGGGGCCGCCUCCAAAUCACCUCAAAACAACACUCCACAACCCUCAUGCCUCCCUCAUGACUAAUAUGUCAUUAAUUUCCUUCAAAGCUAUCCAAAAUUUUUCAAAUCUUAGAUCUGAGUCCAAGCUUCAACCGUUCAAGCUAAUCGAUCCAAGCCUUUGUUCUUCGAGUUGAUUCACUACAAUUUGAUGUUGUUUGUUCGCUCUUAACAUAGAAUAAGCGAUUGGCAUCAAUUUCAUGUGAAUCAAAGCAUCAAGCAUAGUUUCGACUUUAAUUAGUGAGUGUUUUUAAAUUUCUUUUAAUUUUUAUCUGUGCAAUUUUUUAUUUACUUUUAUGCAUAGUUUUUUAUUUUGUUUUUCUUUCGUUCAUCUUCAGUAUUUCUUGAUUUAUGGUUUGAUUGGUUCAAAUUACAUUCUGGUCAUUUGAUUUGAUUUCAACUGUAGGAUUCCAUGUUUAGUUACUGCUUUGCAUUUUUAGUUUUGUUCUUUUAUUCUUCAUAGUGUAGUUUCAGCUCUAUUUUAUUGAUCUUAGCUGUUAGUUUACUGGGUUUUGUUAGUAUAAUAAUAAAUUUAGCCUUUGGACGUUGGUUUAGUUAGAAUUGAUUCUGAUUGAAGUUAUUUGUUUGUAGCUGAUCAUUUCAGAUCCUUGAUUAAUUAACUAUAGUUAAUCUUGGCUAAAGUAAAAAGGGGUAGGUUAGUUUCAACCUAGGUUGGUAAUUUUAGGUGGUUUCAGAGGUAAUAUAGGUAUUCUAUUUAGGGUGUAUUGCAGUAAUAGAAAAUAUAACUCUCUAGAAGCUUCUAUGUUGGGGUAUUAAGUUGAAUAUCAGAAACUUAGUAAUAUAGCUUGAGAAACAAGUCAGUCCCUUACGGACUUUUCAAGCAAAAACUGAAAUAAAAGAGGGACUGAACGUGUAAAAUAAAAUCUAAAAGAGGCCCUAGAAUUUGCCUAUAAAAGGCAGUCUAUCCUGCCUUACAAGAGAAGUUUGAGAGAUCCCUAAAUUUGGAAAUUCAAAAAAUUCAAACCAGUUCUUACGAGUCUAGAGAGCAAAACUCUGAAAAAGUAAAAUUCAAAAACAAUUUUCAGAUCCAAAACUAGUGAAAACCCUACUAAAAAUCCAAAAAUUCUUAUAUAAAGUAGAUAGCUUAGAUAUAAAAUAGAAACAAAAAAAUCAUCAAAAUAUGAUGUAGAAGUCCUUCUAGAUCUCUUUGGUUGAGCAAUUACUUUGGUUCAUCAAGUGUGGUUUUCAAAUUCAGCUGGUUAUUGCUUGUGUGAAGUUAUUUGGAAUUUACUGUAAUCUAUACUUCAUCCUUGGAAUUCUAAGUUGAUGUUUUGUUGUAAUUGACGUUUCCUCUGAGUUGAUGCUUAGCUGAUUAUUUUUCCUCACAUUUUGCUUCAUAUUCCAGAAACAAAUCCUGAAUCUUGGAUGAUGUAGUGUCUAAUUUGAGCGAUGAAAUGGAAGUUUAUGGCUCAUUCGACUUGGUUCCUUGCUUGCUGCUCAUUUUUUAUUAUCUUUACACUUAUUCAUAGUCUAGUUUUAGUUAAAUAUUGAGUAGUAGAGUGUUGUAACUAAUUUGGACUACUAUAUCCUCUGAAACUAUAUGGAUAUAAGGUUGUUAGUUGGAUGAAAGCUGUUUGGAUAGUUGAACGUUAUUUGAGUAGUUGGAUGUUUGGAAUAGUUGGUGGUUUUAAUUUGUUCACCAUGUGCUGUUGAAAUGUAGGAUUCAAAGUAGUGCAUUACAAGUCAAC